UACGUAGGGGGCGAGCGUUGUCCGGAAUCAUUGGGCGUAAAGCGCGUGUAGGCGGUCCGGUAAGUCCGCUGUGAAAGUCGGGGGCUCAACCCUCGGAUGCCGGUGGAUACUGUCGGGCUUGAGUACGGAAGAGGCGAGUGGAAUUCCUGGUGUAGCGGUGAAAUGCGCAGAUAUCAGGAGGAACACCGGUGGCGAAGGCGGGUCUCUGGGCCGAUAUUGACGCUGAGGAGCGAAAGCGUGGGGAGCAAACAGG
rnacentral:rRNA from 1 species